CGCCUAACACAUGCAAGUCGAACGAAGUAGCAAUACUUAGUGGCAGACGGGUGAGUAACAUGUAGGUAUCUGCCCUUUGGCCUGGAAUAACACGAGGAAACUUGUGCUAAUACCGGAUAAGUCUUUACGGAGAAAGCUUUAUGCACCAUUGGAUGAGCCUGCACUUGAUUAGUUUGUUGGUGGGGUAAUGGCCUACCAAGACUGUGAUCAAUAGCUGAUUUGAGAGGAUGAUCAGCCACAUUGGGACUGAGACACGGCCCAAACUCCUACGGGAGGCAGCAGUGGGGAAUCUUGCACAAUGGAGGAAACUCUGAUGCAGCGAUGCCGCGUGAGUGAAGAAGGCCUUUGGGUUGUAAAGCUCUUUCGUCGGGGAAGAAAAUGACUGUACCCGAAUAAGAAGGUCCGGCUAACUUCGUGCCAGCAGCCGCGGUAAUACGAAGGGACCUAGCGUAGUUCGGAAUUACUGGGCUUAAAGAGUUCGUAGGUGGUUGAAAAAGUUAGUGGUGAAAUCCCAGAGCUUAACUCUGGAACUGCCAUUAAAACUUUUCAGCUAGAGUAUGAUAGAGGAAAGCAGAAUUUCUAGUGUAGAGGUGAAAUUCGUAGAUAUUAGAAAGAAUACCAAUUGCGAAGGCAGCUUUCUGGAUCAUUACUGACACUGAGGAACGAAAGCAUGGGUAGCGAAGAGGAUUAGAUACCCUCGUAGUCCAUGCCGUAAACGAUGUGUGUUAGACGUUGGAAAUUUAUUUUCAGUGUCGCAGGGAAACCGAUAAACACACCGCCUGGGGAGUACGACCGCAAGGUUAAAACUCAAAUGAAUUGACGGGGACCCGCACAAGUAGUGGAGCAUGUGGUUUAAUUCGAAGAUACGCGCAGAACCUUACCAACACUUGACAUGUUCGUCGCGACUCUAAGAGAUUAGAGUUUUCGGUUCGGCCGGACGAAACACAGGUGCUGCAUGGCUGUCGUCAGCUCGUGUCGUGAGAUGUUGGGUUAAGUCCCGCAACGAGCGCAACCCUCACUUUUAGUUGCCAUCAUUAAGUUGGGCACUCUGAAAGAACUGCCAGUGAUAAGCUGGAGGAAGGUGGGGAUGACGUCAAGUCCUCAUGGCCCUUACGUGUUGGGCUACACACGUGCUACAAUGGUAUCUACAACAGGAAGCAAGACUGCGAAGUUAAGCAAAUCCCUAAAAGAUACCUCAGUUCGGAUUGCACUCUGCAACUCGAGUGCAUGAAGCUGGAAUUACUAGUAAUCGUGGAUCAGCGUGCCACGGUGAAUGCGUUCCCGGGUCUUGUACACACCGCCCGUCACACCAUGGGAGUUGGUUCUACCUUAAGGCAAGGUUUCAAACCCU
rnacentral:rRNA from 1 species